GAGAGAGGAUUGAAACAGCAAGGAGUGCUAAUCCUAGUAACCGGGGUUAAAUUCCCCGGCUCACUCG
rnacentral:tRNA from 1 species